CACGAACCGGACGAACGUUAUUCGGAAUUAUUGGGCUUAAAGGGUGUGUAGGCGGCCAUGUAGGUGGGGUGUGAAAUCCCUCGGCUCAACCGAGGAACUGCGCUCCAAACCACAUGGCUAGAGGGAGACAGAGGUAAGCGGAACUGAUGGUGGAGCGGUGAAAUGCGUUGAUAUCAUCAGGAACACCAGUGGCGAAAGCGGCUUACUGGGUCUCUUCUGACGCUGAGACACGAAAGCUAGGGUAG
rnacentral:rRNA from 1 species